rnacentral:lncRNA from 1 species
CCUGCCUCAGGCUCCCCAUCAGCUGGGAUUACAGGUGCCCACCACCACUAUGGGCUAAUUUUUGUAUUUUUAGUACAGACGGGGUUUCACUGUGUUGGCCAGGCUGGUCUCGAGCUCCUGACCUCAGGUGAUCUGCCCACCUCGGCCUUCCAAAGUGCUGGGAUUACAGGUGUGAGCCACCACGCCCGGCUGGAUUAUACUUUUUAAAAAUUUGAAAAUUGUAGUUUUAGGGGUUCCUUCAAACGUGGAAUUAUAUUCUUUAUUCCAUUGUGGCAAGGGACUUUUAUUCAAUAAAUUGAUUUCAGCAUAAAAAGCAAUUCACUUUAACAGAUAUUUGGCUCAGUUUAAGGCUUAGCUGUAUUGCCAGUACUGAAGUACUAAUAUGAGUGUUGUUUAGUAUAAUGAAGUCAAGGUACAUCAGUAAUACCAAGAUAAAGUUUCAUAAUAAAAAGCCAUAAAGUGAAGACAGAGAUUUCAAAGUAAAAGAAUAUUUUAUUUGUGGAAUUUGAUACUUUGAUAAAUAAUCAAAGUACAAGCCCUGUUUAAAAUUAAAAGUUCGGCUUACAAAUAUAAUAGCCAAUGUAUCAGUGUCUUAUGUGAUACUAUAUCAUGGAUAUAUUGAUGUUAUAAAAUAAUUAGAUACAGAGUCAUGCAACUUGCUUUCACCCUGUUGGGACACUCUGAACAGUCAGCACUGUUCAUUUGAUAGUAAUUUUCAGAUGCUAGAGAGAUUUGUGAGAGGCUGAUAAUGCAAGAGUAAUGAUUUAUGUAGCCAGUUUCUUCAAUGAUCUGUGAUAACAAAUCAUUAAGAAUGAGACAUAUGGCUUAAGAAUGAAGCUUAAGAAUUUGACAUAUGGCCGGCUGUGGUGGCUCACACGUGUAAUCCCAGCACUUUGGGAGGUUGAGGCAGGUAGAUCACUGGAGUCCAGGAGUCUGAGACCAGCCUGGGCAACAUGGAGAGAUUCUACCUCUACAAAAAAUACAAAAAUUAGCUGGGCAUGGUGAUCUGCACCUAUAGUCCCAGCUACUUAGGAGGCUGGGGCAGGAAGAUUGCUUGAGCCCAGGAGGUCAAGGCUACAGUGAGCUAUGAUCAUGCCACUGCACUCCAGACUGGGCAACAGAGUGACACCCAUCUAAAAAAAAUAAAAGAGAAUUUGACGUUGUGUUAUUCUACGCUCCACCAAAUACCUCUCCCCCUGCCACCCUGUCUCCCUUUCCCUCUGUUUUAGGAUUUUUCUCACACUGUAAAAGAAGAUUUACUCACAGUUGUUAAAAGCUUGCCUUCCAGCUUUCUAAUUUGAGGUAGGUUCUAUAACCUCUGUGGGUCCCCGUUUCCACAUGUAAAAGAUGAACAUAAUACUAGUACUACAUUAAUAGGGUUAGGAGGGUUAAAGGGUAAAGAGUCCUUUGAGCACAUUUUCUGGCAAACCAUAAUAACUUGAUAAAUGCUAAGCAUUGGAACGGGUACCAAGUCUCCAAGAAACAAGUAUCUCAAUGCAGUUUUAGAAAUUUCCUGUUUUAUUCUUUUCUGUGGCCCUGCUCACCCUCUGGGAAUAAUCAUUUCAACUUUGCAUUUGUGAAAAAUAAUACAUACAAUCUUAAGGUUACUUCAGACUAUACUUUUUCAUCGAGCAGUAUUGUAUUCAAAAGUGAUCGAUCUGCUGAAUAUAUAAAUUAAAAUGGACACAAGCCUUCAUUCAUCAGACAUUUGAGUGUCUGUCCUCUGAGUUCCCAUAGAAUCUGAAUUACACCACUUUAUUCAUACUUACAUUAUGUGUUUACUUUUCUGAGUGUCCUAUUAAUCUUUAUUCCUUAAAGGAAAGCCUGAGGGCAUCUUGUUUAACAAUGCAUCUCUCUCUUCAUCAAUCAACGCUGCAGGUGCUUACAAGACUUAUAACUUAAAAAAAUUAUAAUACAAGGCUCAGCGCAGUGCCUCAAGUGCCAACAGUUUCGGAGGCCUUGGCAGGCGGAUCACUUGAGGCCAAGAGUUCGAGACUAGCCUGGCCAACAUGGUGAAACACCGUCUGUACUAAAAAUACAAAAAUUAGCUGGGUGUGGUGGCACGCGCCUGUAGUCUCAGCUACUUGGGAGGCUGAGGCAGGAGAAUCACUUGAACCUGGGAGGCAGAGGUUGCAAUGAGCUGAGAUUGCGCCAUUGCACACCAGCCUGGGUGACAAGAGUCUCAAAAAAAAAAUUAUAAUACAAGUAAUUACUUUCGAAUUCUGCCAUGGGUAUCUUUUUAUUAUUAAGAAAAGCCUGUCAUCAAGGGAUUCAUUUAUGAUAUUCCUAAAUAUGAAAAUAUUUUGUGUAAGUAUAUAUUUAUCUCCAUAUUAGAACUUAGCAACAGUGCUCAGAUAAACUCAAAAGUAUUACUUGAGUUUAGAAUGCAUUUUGUAUCUAAUAUUUUAAUAUGAAUGUGCCUGAUAUUUUCGGAAGUCACAACACUUUAUACAAAUAAUGAAGGCAUGUACAGAAGAUUAUGUGUAGGAGGAAAAUUGAGUAGCUAAUUUAAUUUCAUUUAAUAUUUUACUUAGAGUGUAUACAUGUUUAUAGACUGCAAGUCUAUGGGAUUUAAUAGAUAUUACAGCAAAUUACACUGCGAAAACAUUGAUAGUUCUACACUGUAAUUAAAUGUUAUAUAUAUUAUUAAAAUUAUUAGGUUGGUGCAAAAGUAAUUGAGGUUUUUGCCAUUGAAAGUGGUGGUGCAUGCCUGUAAUCCCAGCUACUCGGGAGGCUGAAUCAGAAUUGCUUGAACCCGGAGGGCAGAGGUUGCAGUGAGCUGAGAUCUCGCCACUAUGCUCCAGCCUGGGCAACAGAUUGAGACUCUGUCUCAAAAAAAAAAAAAAGUCAAGUACAGUUAGUUAAAGGAAUGUGCAUUUAAAAAUUAAUCUAUGAUUAGGCUAUUAAUAUAUAGUCUAAUAAUUUUAUUGCAUUAUAAUUAUAAAGUAGUUUUAUAAUUUUAUAAAAUUUUAUUGAUGCUGUAAUUUUUAUAAAAUUUUAUUUAUUUUAUAAUUUUACAAAAAAUUCUAAUACCUGUAAUACACUUUUUAGUGCCUUUUCUUUCUAAAAGUUAAUGUUUGAAAUUACAAUGUGUAAAUGUUAUCUCGUCUUGUUUUUCUUAUUAGGGCCCCAUUUCACUGAAUGACAAUUGCAAUGAGGCAUAGGAAAGAAAAGGGAAAUGAAAUUGCUUGCUGAAGUCCUACUAUGUUCUGGGCACUAUGCUGUUUGCCUAAUAAAUAAUUGCCUUGUGCUGUGUACCUUGGAGCAGGGCCUUACAUAGUGAAUAUAUCAAUAGUUGUUCACAAAAAGAGCAAUAUACCACUUAGAAGCUACAGAACUUAAAAAUGGCUACUUAUACUCCAUAGAAGAUAUAGUAAAUAAUAGAAGAAAAAAAUGAAAUGGCUAAAGACAUUUUGUUUUACAAUGGGGCUGUUUUUACAUGUUAAUUAAAAUUCUAUGUUUAAACAAAUCUCUUGUGAUGGCUGUUUCAUUAUGAGAGGAUGCAUUUGUAUUAGUCAGUCCUCUAGAGGGACAGAACUAAUAGGAUAGAUGUAUAUAUGAAAGGGAGUGUAUUAAGGAGUAUUGACUCACACGAUCACAAGGUGAAGUCCCACAGUAGGCCAUCUGCAGGCUGAGGAGCAAGGAAGCCAGUCCGAGUCUCAAAACCUCAAAAAUACGGAAGCCGAC